AUCCUGAUUAGUGGUUACAUGUUAGGCACCUAAGGGGGAGGAGGCUUCUGGCAUUGAACGUUCAACAUUUGCAUUAUUCAUGCAGCCUGACUGGGAUGAAAAGCUUAAUUUUCCUGAGGUGGUCCAUAUCCAUCAGGAGUUAAUCUCAUCUUAUGGAUCUCUUACUUUCGGUGAGUAUACUGAAAAGCUCCUUGACAAGUAUUACCACCUUAAAGCAUAAAAGCUCAGAUUGCCUAAACAGGUUCUCGUUAUGAAUAUGUAUAUCUUCCAUUAUUGCAAAGGGUACUACCUGCACUAUCCAAUCCUUGUCAUGUAUAACUUUUUUUUUUCCCCUGCAUUAUUGACUUCUUGUUUGCCAAUUUAUGUUGCUCCGUGAUAUAACGGUUUAGUUUCAUGAUUUUGGAUGCUGCCCAUUUCGGAUCCUAUGGAGAAAAUAUAAGGGGUUGCUUUCUGCUACAAACGAUCACUGGUCGUAACUCAUGGAGGGAUCAUUGUUUAUAUAAUGACCAAAUUAUGUACCUACCUAGAAGAUUUACAUAAUAAUUAGGUAGGAUGAUCUCAAUUGUUUGUCAUAAUCCAAACUCUGUUAGAAAGUACAGUUUUUCAAGUAAGUGGAUGGAAAUUACAAAUGGUAUCAUUUAGAUUGUUCAAUAUAUUGCCUUAUUUUU